UGUCAUUAAAUUGCUGUGUUGCACAUAAAAAUAUUAAAAUAUCCUGUACGAUGCAUACGGAACCCUUCCUUUGCGAUUCCGACUCGCACUUGACCAGGUUUUUUUUAAUACUUAUUGUUUGAAGAAUCAGCUUUUUAAAGCUCUUCGCAUGUUAACUUAGUCAUAUUUAACUUGUGAUUCCGCCUUCACAGUAUCAAUAUUGAAUCUGCUUAGACUACGCGGGUAUUGGUCCACGCAUUGCCGCACAAGGAAAAUAAUAUGAUUUCUACUGGACGUCAGGGUUUGGUUUCGCCAGCCAGCUCCAGCUGAAUUGCUAAAAGAUUCGGGCUUUAUUUACCCGUAUUUCAUUUUCGCAAUUACGGGUUUCUGAAUUAUCAUAUACUGAAAUACGGGGUAUCCCGUAAAAUACGGGGCAUCUGGCAAUCCUACGUUGAACUCGUCAUUCAAGAACUGUUGAGAGACAAAUUGCAGUUAUGAGUACGAUACUGUUUGAAUGAUUAGAGAAUAAGAGCUCUGAUUUCAGUAGUCUAGUAGCAGUUAUUUCAAACUGGUCAACUUAAUUGGAUUCGAGUGGUUCAACAUAAUGUUAGAAUGACCUCAGAUUAUGUCAAGAAUAGUGUCUUUGUUCAGUUAUCAUGGGACGGUUCAACAUGAGCGCGGGUUUCGUUUAAGGCAAUUGUGCAAAUUAUUUUAUAUUAUCUCUUAAUUUAUUUUGAUUGUCGACGAUGCUACACGCAUCUCGGAGAACAAUAUAAUAAUGUUAAGUAAUUUGUAAGAUAGUUUCAGACGUUUAUAAUAGUAUAAUAAUAAUAUAUAAACCCGUUUUGUCACUGAAAGCAUCACAAUUUUUCAAAAUUUUGCUCAAUAACAAUAUUUUUGGUCUUUAAAAAAAAUAUACUUCAAACAACACAAUUCUGCCCAAGUCUCAGGCAAUAUAUUUAUGAUGUGACAAUUAAUUAUAAGUUUAAUAUGAUCUCUGACAAGUAAAUUAAGUUAUAUUAGUCGUUAGAGAUAGAUUUAAAUUUGGUUUAGGUAACAAGUUUUAAAUUUCGUACGUUUUAAUGUAUACAUACUUUCGCCUAUUUUCAAAUGUAUGUCACAAUGGUAAAUGCCUUGAAAAUGCUAAUGCGUUGCUUUGAAAAUCAAAUUUUCAUUGAAAACGAGGAAGUUUUUUCGAUGCAUUUCGUUGAGUGCCAGAAACUUUGUAUUAUUCUCUCUCCCUUGGGAGAAAAGUACAAAGAAUCUUAACAAGAGACAGAAAAAUCUGCAACCCGAUUACUCUUAAAAUAACACUCGUGAGUGUACAUUACACAAAACAUUUUUCUUUCCUUUACGUAGUCGGGUAAAAAUGUAGUCUUUCAACCAAAAGCAACUUAGUGUUAAAUAAAUACAAAUACUCAAGCGAGAUUUUGUUACCCCUUCGAGUAACAAAAUUGUUAUUGCCAGUUUUAAUAUAAUAAAUAAAUAGGGAUGAUAUGAUUUUGUCGAUAUAGGCGAUUCUGAAUUUUGAUGUUUUUCUCUUAAACUAAAUUAAGAGUAUCUGCAUCUUAUUCUUUUUAAUAUUGUUAAAAAAGGACGGAAAUUGAUUUUUAAAUUAAGACUAUUUUAGUGCUACUCCACCAAUUUAAACACUGGUCAUUGGUCAAGAUUGGCACCUAAAGUCACGAGGUUUGACAGUUUUAAAUUAAGUUUGUCAGUCCUUUUCUCAUUUCAUAUAUUAGUAAGAGAAAGAUGGGAACUCAAAAAUUUAGUUGCGAUCAGAAUCCAGUAAUAUAUAGAGUCCGUUUUUCCUUAGUUUGCUUAAAAGGUAAAAUUCGUAUGAUAAUUUUACCGGCACCAACGGCGAUGGCCGAAGUUCUUGAGUGGAGACCGCGUAUAAGCAAGCGUAGAGUGGGACGCCCUCCAGCACGAUGGACCGACGAUAUAAAGAGGUUGGCGGGAGGUGGCUGGAUGAGGAAGACUGAGGACCGGGUGUGGUGGCGCUCUUUAGAGAAGGCCUAUGUCCAGCUGUGGACGUCCACAGGCUGAUGAUAAUAAUGAUGAUAGUGAUAAUUUUAUUGUCAGUUCGCGGUAGCAAGAUCGUAUUAGUACGCUUCUUACGCAUUUCAGCGAGAUGCUACUUUAUUUUUUUAUAAAAAAUAGCGAGCAAACGAGCAGGUGGGUCACAUGAUAUUAAGUGAUUACCACCGCCCAUGAACAUUUGCAGCACCAAAGGUAUCGCCGCGGCGCCGAUGCGUUGCCGGCCUUUCAGGAAGCUACUUGUAUACCUUUUAAGUAAACUAAGGAAAACUAAAUUAUACGUAUCGAGUAUCAGUCACAACCCUAAUGAUAGAUUAAAUAUUAUUUUACAAUAAUUAUUACAAAGACAUUGAGUAUUUGUGUUUUGUGUCAUAGUUCAAUAUAACAAGGGCUAACGUAAGUUGUUGUAUAGUGGAUUAUUUUAUUUUGUAUGAUUUAUCAACGUUUGUUUUUAAUUGGUUGUCCAAAAUACUGUGUUUACUUUGGAAUGGAAAAUUUCAAUAUGUCAAACCGCAGUCCCUUAAAUAAAGUACAAAUUAUUUUCAUGUCUGUUUAGGUUGGGACCGCGGUGGAAUACUUAAAAGACAUUCAUUUUCAUUGCAUUUCAUUAUAAAAAUUUCUUCAUUUGAUAGGUUUUUACAUUAGGGAUAGUCAACGAGAGCCAUUUAGUUACUAAUUUUCUUUAAACGAAUGUACGUAUGUUAAAUUUUCAAAAAUAAAAUCCAUUGCAUUUUUAAUUGGAAAUUCAAAGUUAAUUGAAUGCGAAACGUAAUUCUGAAUUUUAAUUAAUUUCAAAUUCCAUUCAUUUUUUAUUUCCAUAAAAUAGAUGUUUAACAUAUUCAGGCCCAGGGUUAUGCAAUAGAUUUUAUUACUGAAAAAUAUUUUGUACAUAGAAAUUCGUGAAAGAAAUUAGUACUUAGUGUGGUAAAUGACGAUAAUUUUCGCCUUAUGUUUCGGUGUUGGGACACUGAGCAGGUCUGACUAGAGUCUAGAUAACUAUGAAAUUAUAAAUGAAUUUUUCAACUUGGACAAAUAAAUAAAUAAUAAGAGAAGACUAAUUUUAUAAGGCGUUGCGCGCUUUGUGUUUUCUUUAUUAAUUAAUCAUUACGAGGUGUUUCGAUUUUAUUUUAUAAUACGACUUGUUUUCUAAAGCGUUUUGACUUAGUUCUUGAAUUUAUGAAAUGUGUUUACGUGUAGUCUCUUGAACGAACGCUUGAAUUACCCGCAAUUUAUUCGAAAUCUUUUUUUGCGAGUCGUCCCUGAGUAAAUUUUCAAGUUAAAAAAAGUUACAUCGGAGUUUCUUUAGUCUUAACUUUACUACAUAAGGAGUAGCUUCAAAAUGUUUAAACAUUAGCUCGUGUUAGGGUUGCCGUCAGUUGCCAUUAAUUCAUUUAAUUAUGGGUAUUGGUAGCCAUAUACAACCUAAUGCAAAAUACCCCCAAAUUCAAUUAAUUUACGAAUACUUGACCGAAAAUUUUGCAUUUUUGGGUCAAAUAUUUGUCAGUGUGGUUCACAAGACCUUCGUUUUUGAGAUUACACUUUAAAAUAUUUGAAAUUUUAUUGUUUAAAAAUUUUCUAUUCGGAUGUUGUUAUGUGCCAAAUUAGACUGUACUGGAAAAAUGCGAAAUUAACUUUUAAUUACGACAGAGUGGAAACGGUACUACGAAUAUCAUUAGUGCGUAAUGAAUGUAAAAUUCAGAAUAUUGUGUAAUUGAACAAAUUGCAUGCAAAUUGCGAAGUUCAAAAUACAUAAUAUUGAACUGAAUUGAAUGAAAAAUGUAAAAUAUUUUUAAUUGAAUUGAAUCCAAACUGACGAUUGGAAAAUUCAAUAUGUAUUCUCUCUCUUAAUUGUAUUGAAAACAAUAUAGCACUAGUGAUGUUCGAAGUAUAGUUGUUCUAUUUCAUGAAGACCGCUCAGCCUUGGUCGUAGUAUGUGUACAGAUAAGUAUUUGAGCAUUUGUGCGCGUAAAGCGGAAUUUACAUUACGAAACGAGUGGAGAAUGGAGUGGAGAAUGAAUUAGUUUCACGACAUUCAUUUCAUUAUCUUGCACGUGUAAACGUCUAAUUUCAUAAUUCAUGCAUUGCGAAAUUAGACGUUUACACGUGCAAUUGAUAAUGAAAUUCAUGUCGUGAAACUAAUUUCGCAAUAAAAAUUCCGCUUAAUAUAAACUGCAUUGCGUUCGAGACUUGCUACGCACACUGUAACAACGUACGUGUGUACAACGUACGUACACUCACACACACAUAAUAGCCAAACGGUCUUCAUGAAAUAGACCUGUAAAACAAUACUUACAUACUGUUAAAGUAGGUAUUUCGCAGUAUUUCCGUACACUCGCCAAAUAACGUGUGGACAUGACGGGCUCUGAAGUUGUUCUUGUCUUUGUAGAAAGAAAGAGAUUGUAUUCGAAACUUUGGACGCGGAAAUAGAAGCACACUACGUUCUUAUAAUUUAUUUUAAUAUAUUCUCUUUAACACCUGUGAUGUAUUAAAUAUGAUCUCAGUACAUAAUUUAACUGUAUGCAAUUUGUCAUUAUAUAUUUUUGUUUGUUUAAAAAUAGUUGUUAGCUGACCAAGCGUUACGAAGCUUGAGUGGCAACAAGAAAAAGAAAAAAAAACAGUAUCCCUAGCUUUUUUGGUUUAAGCAUAUGAGAAAUAAUUUAAUACAUCAAAAAAUAUUAUAAUUUUAUUUUUGUUAAUAUAUAAAUUUUUCUUAAUUAACGUACCUACUACGGUUUGUGUUGGUUUCGACUGAAUGUUUUUAAGUCUUUUAGUGUGCGUUUCCGUAACACUGUACAUAAUGUGCACAUACGUGUAAUUUAUUGAAUGGCGGAAAGUGUGCGCUAAUCGAGGCUAAUUAUUCGCUUAAGGACUUUGAUGUAAUCUGUCAAUAAUCGUAAAAAAACGUGGGUAACGUGGAUGGAAUCUUACAAUAAGUUGAAAGCUUUAAACUUAAAUUUACGUGGUAUCGUAACAUAAGUAUCGUUACUUCAGUUGGGAGUAUCGAUACUUUUGUAACGUUACCGGUAACUAUAGUUUUUUUCUCCACACCUUGUAUGUGAAACGUAGAUACUGCUGUUUCCUUCUAUACUAAAUUUAGAGUAUCUGCAUCUUUUUCAUUUUAAUAUUGCUAAAAAGGACGGAAAGUUAAUUUAAAAUUUAAAAACAAAAUAGUGCACUCUACUCGUAAAAAUAGGCUCACGAUGGCAUCUAAAUUCACGAGGUUUGACAGUUCUAAAUUAAUUGUCUGUCCUUUUCUGAUAACAUUGGUGAGAAAAAGAUGCGAAUACAUACUCUCAAAUUUAUUUCCUAUUAAAAUCACUACCAUUGACAGUUUAUUUCGCAGUCCUUUAGCGCCAAGUUGGCUCGCAGUCGAAAACUUGUAAGGGAUACACAAAAAAAAAAUGUAAAACGUAUCUGUUAUUGAAGCUCUAGAGGCAAAGAUGUAAACCCCAGUGCCAAAAAGGUACAUACAAUUAAAUAUGUUAACAGUUUAUAUACAAAAAAUUUUUGAGAAUAUACCAUAGAGAUCCCUUUCCAAUAACUUUCUGUAUAAUUUAAAAUUAUAACCCUCUAUAUGUAUAACUAAGUCGUCCGAUAGCCGGAAGACUGUCGUCCGAUAGCCGGAAGACUGUCGUCCGAUAGUCGGGAGACUGUUGUCCGACUCCGACAUGCAACAAGUGGAAUUCUGUUUUUCGGCAAAAUGUUUUCUAAUUAUACCUAAACUUAUAAUAUUCAAACUGUAUCUGGGUGUAUCAUAAUAUGUAUAAUACAUAAAACUUAAAAUUAGUUUUAAAAGAAACUUACUUCAUACGAUA